UUUCGUGCUGUGUAAGGUUUGUUCUUUCGCUCUUUGCAAUAAAUCUUGCUACUGCUCACUCCUUGGGUCCACGCUGCUUUUAUGAGCUGUAACACUCACCGCGAAGGUCUGCAGCUUCACUAUUGAAGCCAGCGAGACCACGAGCCUACCGGGAGGAACGAACAACUCCAGACGCGAUGCCUUAAGUGCUGUAAUAUGGCGAAGGUCUGCAGUUUCACUCUUGAGCCAGGGAGACCACGAACCGGGCGGGAACACCAGAAGGAAGAAACUCCAGACGCGCCACCUUAAGAGCUGCGGCUCUGCAAGCAAGGGUCUGCGGCUUCAUUCUUGAAGUCAGUGAGACCAAGAACCCACCAAUUCCGGACACAGAACAACUAAAACCCCUGCAAAUUACAUACAAAACAAGUUUAAGAGGACUUUGAGAGAUGAAGAAAAGCAGGCAGACCAGCCAGGGACCUUGCAGCCUGAAGAAGGACAGGAAGCUUGGUAGACACUUGUGCACUGUAUGAGUCCAUUUUCAUGCUCCUGAUAAAGACAUACCCCAGACUGAGAAGAAAAGGAGGUUUAAUUGGACUUACAGUUCCACAUGGCUGGAGAGGCCUCAGAAACAUGGUGGGAGGCAAAAAGCACUUCUUACAUAGCGGCAGCAAGAGAAAAUGAGGAAGAAGCAAAAGCGGAAACCCUGAUAAACCCAUCAGAUCAGGUGAGACUCAUUCACUAUCAUAAUAGCACAGGAAAGAAGUGACCACAUGAUUCAAUUUCCUCCCGCUGGGUCCAUCCCACAACAAGUGGGAAUUCUGGGAGAUACAAUACAAGUUGAGAUUUGGGUGGGGACACAGCCAAUCCGUAUCAUGCACUGUGUACAUAAUUAGAUGUUUGACCAAAUUUUUAAAAAAAUGGCUAUACAGAGAAAGACUUGUAGUAAUUAAUCUGGUAAUUAUGAGCCCAGGUUUUAGGGUCAAGUUUCAGUGUUUAAAUCCUUGAUCCACCAUUUAACAUUUGGGCAAAUUGGGCAAGUUAUAUAACCUUUCUAACAUCUAUAUUAUUAAAGUACAAUUAAUUUAAUAUUUUAUAGUCAUUAUUAUUUCAUAAUGGCCUUCCACAUUUUCAGUAAAAUUGUAUAAAUAAAAUUAAACUCUAUAUUUACAUAAAAUAAAUAUUUUUAACAUUAUGUAUUAGUUAAAAGUACUUAGAUAAUAUCCAUUCGGUAUCCAUCUAUUUUUACAUAAUUCUUUUCAUCCUUCUUUUCAUCUCACACAGUUAAGUUUCUCAGUUACUUUUCUGGGUGAAGACUCUAAAUGUUUUUAAGCAGUCUCUCACUCUUGAUUAGUCUGUAUUCUAAAAGAUUAAGUUUCAAGUCUUUCCCUGUCUGGCUUUUGGUCGAAUAAUUCGACUCUUAUUAUAAAUGCAGUGUUUCAUAUUCUGACUGAUGUUUUUAUCAUAUAGAAAUAGCUUAUGGUUUGGUUCUAUAUAGUAAAUGUUUGUUUAUUUUCUUUUUGAUAAAAUAAUUUUUAAAGACUAAUUCUUAUGUUUCAUACCUGAAAUUUGUAAAAUGUGUCUUAAAAAUGGCUGUACAGUUUUUCCUCCCAUUCCAAAGAGUUAGACUCUGUUAAGAUGUAUAGUGUCUGCCAACUCAAAUCAGACAACACAUUCUACAUCUAUUAUCAAGUAAUGUUGGACUCUUGAGUGACCUGACUGUCCUAUUCUGAUUAAUAGCAUUAUUCGUUUCUUCAGCCUUUGAACAUAAAGCAUGAGAAGGUCAUUCAUUUAUGUGAAUAGCAGAUGGAAGGAAGUAACAUUUAUGAAAUACCUAUUCAAACCAGGCAAUAUUCAGCACAGGAAUAUAAGAUUGUAUGAAAUGUCAGUCUUCCUUAAAAGACACAGUAAGCUAUAGAGUAAUACAUAAAUAACUAUAAUCUAAUAAGAAACAGCAGUACGUUGGUUAAGUGCAAGAGAUUUCAAGCAGAAAAAUCUAAGCACAAGUCCCAAUUGUACAAUUUAUUAAUUAUGAGACUUGUGGAAGUUCUAUAACUUCUGAAAUUCUGACUUUUCUAAUAUAUGAAAAUAAAUAAGAAAUGUCCCAUUUUUCAUAAUUUUGGCUAUUAAUAUAACAUGCCACAAAUGGGAAAAUGUCAUGGAUGCUCUGUAAACAUAUUCACAAAAUACAAGUGUAGAAAUAAAGUAAAUAGAAAUAAAGCUUGAGGAAAAAUUGAAAAAGUAUGUUUCAUAUGUUUUCCUCAAACUUCAGCAAGGUCUAAAAAAUACCAAUAAAUAAAGAAAAGUUUGAUAACUACUGUAGACAUUAAAGGUAUUAAUAUUCACUAAAUUUAUACAGUAAAUGUACAUAGAGGUCUACAAUAAUUGUAAAUUCCAAAAUAUCUUAAUUGUGUUAUUCUCUAGAGGGAGGAGGAAUAUUAUUAUGCAUUAUUUUUCAAAGGUGAAUUGUAAAUCAAUGGAUGUUUUUUCUAUUAUUCCGAUUUCUUUGUUCAUUAUAUGAAAUAUUUUAUAUUUAAUAACAUUAAGUCAUAAUUUUAAAAAUAUUAUUGUUAUUGAAGGACUACUAAUAUCACAAUGGCAACUGGUUGAUGGCAACCAGUUAAAGGAUUUGUAUGAGUUGUUUGGUAAUGGGUAGAAAUUGAGAUGUUGUGAGUGAGAAAAAUGUUAUCUUUCAUAAGGAGAUUAGGAGACUCUAAAAACUACAAAUAAAAAAGAGGGAUAAGCUUCAAAUUUCUUAUCAUGGUGUUAUCAGGAGUACCAAAAUCAAAAAUGGGUAAAAAAAUUAACUCGAGUUGAAUUACAGAUGGGAUGAGGCACUAGAGUUUUUCACUUAAUUAUAAUGUUGUAAACCUUUUAUACAGUUUGGUUCUUUAACAUGCAUGUUAAAAAUCUAGUCAUUUUGUAAUAUAAUGUUGUGCCAAGAAAAUAAAUUAAUAUGCACUUUUUUUAGUAAAAGCCCCUGUAAUAAUUGUGCUAGAAAACAGAAUCUUGUAACAGAUUUGUUUCAGUUGUUUGUUGUGUUGAUUCCAUUCUUGAGAAAGUUUCUGUUAUCACUAAAUAAACAUAUUUAGG